rnacentral:tRNA from 1 species
UGGCUCAGUUGGUAGAGCAUGGUGUUUGCAACGCCAAAGUUGUGGGUUUGAUUCCCAC